UAUCUUGUGACAUGAAUGUUUCUCUUGGGAGAUAAGAGCAAGACGAAAUGCGGUCUCUAGCAUUUCACAAACAAAAAAGGACGAAACUGUUCGCUCUUCUUCUGUUUCCUUCUUCUUAAAUAGAGGUGAAAGUAAAAAAGACGUAUAUCUACAGAAUUUAUUCUAUUUCCAUUACACAUUCUCAUAAUCCUAUAUAACGUAAUACAUUAUAAGGUAAUACUAUGUGGAGGUACGAUUAAACGUGUUGGUGUUGAUUGAUGAGACGAGUUGAUACUUGUGCCCUCAAAUGUAUUUAAGACUAUUUUUAAAUAUAUAAUACAGAAUACA
rnacentral:misc_RNA from 1 species